rfam:Ipomoea nil DNA, scaffold: scaffold0963, cultivar: Tokyo-kokei standard.
GUCGUUGUAGUAUAGUGGUGAGUAUCCCUGCCUGUCACGCGGGAGACCCGGGUUCGAUCCCCGGCAACGGUG